AGAACUCCAAAUAUCUGGAUGUCAAUGCCAUCCCACUUCACCACAAGCUUCAGAGGACAGGUCCUAGUUAUUCUGAACCUGUCAAUACCUGGAAUUUACCUAAGGGCCAUUACUGGUUGAGGGUGGCCAAUCCUCUUAAAAUGGCCUGAUCAUAUUGAAGGGAUGGCAUUUUAUUCCAUAGUUAGGAAAGGUUUUCCCCUCUCUCCUGAGGGACAGAAACAAAGAAGAAUGUACACUCUAUCACAAUAAACUCCCUAUGCAAUAUAAUUGAUAUAACAACAUUGCCUAAAAAGUUUUCCAUUUCAUUCUGCUCAGAACUACUCCAUUAUUUAUAAUGGCUGUAUAGUUUUUCCAAGUAUUAUUUCAUCUUAAUGUACUAAUCUUUCCCAUUAUUUCUAAGCAUUAAAGUCUUAUUGAGU
rnacentral:lncRNA from 10 species